rnacentral:rRNA from 1 species
UACGAAGGGGGCUAGCGUUGCUCGGAAUCACUGGGUGUAAAGGGCGCGUAGGCGGAUCUUUAAGUCGGGGGUGAAAGCCUGAGGCUCAACCUCAGAAUUGCCUUCGAUACUGGGGAUCUUGAGACCGGAAGAGGUAAGUGGAACUGCGAGUGUAGAGGUGAAAUUCGUAGAUAUUCGGAAGAACACCAGUGGCGAAGGCGACUUGCUGGACACAUAUUGACGCUGAGGUGCGAAAGCGUGGGGAGCAAACAGG